UCCUGGCUCAGGAUGAACGCUAGCGACAGGCUUAACACAUGCAAGUCGAGGGGCAGCAUAGAAGUAGCAAUACGUUGGUGGCGACCGGCGCACGGGUGAGUAACGCGUAUGCAACCUACCUAUCAGAGGGGAAUAACCCGGCGAAAGUCGGACUAAUACCGCAUAAAACAGGGGCACCGCAUGGUGAUAUUUGUUAAAGAAAUUCGCUGAUAGAUGGGCAUGCGUUCCAUUAGGUAGUUGGUGAGGUAACGGCUCACCAAGCCGACGAUGGAUAGGGGAACUGAGAGGUUGGUCCCCCACACUGGUACUGAGACACGGACCAGACUCCUACGGGAGGCAGCAGUGAGGAAUAUUGGUCAAUGGGCGGGAGCCUGAACCAGCCAAGUCGCCGUGAAGGAAGAAGGAUCUAUGGUUCGUAAACUUCUUUUGCAGGGGAAUAAAGUGCAGGACGUGUCCUGUUUUGUAUGUACCCUGAGAAUAAGGAUCGGCUAACUCCGUGCCAGCCGCCGC
rnacentral:rRNA from 1 species